GAUGAACGCUAGCGGCAGGCCUAAUACAUGCAAGUCGAACGAUAGAAGAGGGCUUGCUCUCUUCGAAAGUGGCGCACGGGUGCGUAACGCGUAUGCAACCUACCUUAAUCAGGGGGAUAGCCCGAAGAAAUUCGGAUUAACACCGCAUAAAAUCACAGUACAGCAUUGUACAAUGAUCAAAUAUUUAUAGGAUUAAGAUGGGCAUGCGUGACAUUAGCUAGUUGGCGGGGUAACGGCCCACCAAGGCGACGAUGUCUAGGGGAUCUGAGAGGAUGACCCCCCACACUGGAACUGAGACACGGACCAGACUCCUACGGGAGGCAGCAGUAAGGAAUAUUGGUCAAUGGAGGCGACUCUGAACCAGCCAUGCCGCGUGCAGGAAGACGGCCCUCUGGGUUGUAAACUGCUUUUAUUCGGGAAUAAACCUCAUUACGUGUAAUGAGCUGAAUGUACCGAAGGAAUAAGGAUCGGCUAACUCCGUGCCAGCAGCCGCGGUAA
rnacentral:rRNA from 1 species